AGCGAACGCUGGCGGCAGGCCUAACACAUGCAAGUCGAACGAACUCUUCGGAGUUAGUGGCGGACGGGUGAGUAACACGUAGGAACGUGCCUUUAGGUUCGGAAUAACUCAGGGAAACUUGUGCCAAUACCGAAUGUGCCCUUCGGGGGAAAGAUUUAUCGCCUUUAGAGCGGCCCGCGUCUGAUUAGCUAGUUGGUGAGGUAAAGGCUCACCAAGGCGACGAUCAGUAGCUGGUCUGAGAGGAUGAUCAGCCACAUUGGGACUGAGACACGGCCCAAACUCCUACGGGAGGCAGCAGUGGGGAAUCUUGCGCAAUGGGCGAAAGCCUGACGCAGCCAUGCCGCGUGAAUGAUGAAGGUCUUAGGAUUGUAAAAUUCUUUCACCGGGGACGAUAAUGACGGUACCCGGAGAAGAAGCCCCGGCUAACUUCGUGCCAGCCGCCGCGGUAACAC
rnacentral:rRNA from 1 species